GUGUCUAUUGAAAGGAGAGAAGGUUAGCACUCCCCUUGACAAGGAUGGAACACAUAAAACGGUGAAGGCACUCUUUACCACAUUUUUUU